AUGUAUAAGAUCCGCUUGACUUGUUCUGUAAGUUGUUCAAGAUAUCUCAUCGCACAAGGCUUGGCUUUCCGUGGACAGGAUGAAUCCUCUACUUAUAUGAACAAGGGAAAUUUUAGAGAGAUGAUAGAUUUGGAAAAGACUAAAAAUGAACAAGUGAGAGAUGCUUUUGACCAUGGUGGAAGAAAUUGCACAAUGACAUCCGGUGACAUUCAAAAGGAGCUUGCAAUGUGUUGUGCACAUGAAGUUACCAAGAGGAUCAUGGCUGAGCUUGGUGAUAAACAAUUCUCUGUGCUUAUUGAUGAAUCGCGCGAUAUAUCUGUGAAAGAGCAAAUGGCAGUGAUGUUGAGGUUUUUGAAUGACCAAGGAAAGGUUGUGGAACGAUUUAUUGCUCUACAUCAUGUCAAAGAUACUACAUCUGAGGCACUAAAGAAUGCUCUUUAUGCAAUUCUUGAUCAUUAUAAGUUAUCUAUUUCAAGGAUACGAGGGCAAGGAUAUGAUGGUGCUUCAAAUAUGAGAGGCGAGUUUAAUGGUUUGCAGAGAAAAAUCAUAGAUGAAAACCCUUUUGCUUUCUAUGUUCAUUGCUAUGCUCAUCGUUUGCAGUUGGUGGUUGUCUCUGUUUCUAGUAGUUGCUCAUCUAUUCAUGAUUUCUUUGAGUACAUCUCCUUAAUUGUCACUACAACAAGUUCAUCUUGCAAGAGAAGGGAUGAAUUGACAGAGGCACAACACCAAGAUAUUCUGCACAGACUUGAGAGUGGCGAGAUAUCUACAGGAAGGGGCUUGCACCAAUCAUCUACUCUUGCUAGGCCAGGUGAUACUAGAUGGGGUUCCCAUCAUACUACUUUGCUUCGUUUGAAUCAAGUGUGGUCCUCUGUGUUACAGGUGCUUAGUACGGUUGAUGAACAUGGACGUGGGCCAUCUCAAGCAGCAGGUUUGAUAGAAAAAAUGGAGAGCUUUAAAUUUGCUUUCAUUCUAAAGCUUAUGUUGAAGUUGUUUGGCAUCGCA
rnacentral:rRNA from 1 species